rnacentral:rRNA from 1 species
GUUAGCAGUCGAUAUCGGGCAAGGCUUAAGUUCGGUAUGGGGGGAUUGGAAAUUCCUGCGGUUAGGGGUGAAAUGCGCGGUAUUCAGGAGGAACUCCCGGUGCGGAAAGGCGGCAUCUUUGGGCCGGUUCUGCGGCUUAGGAGUGGAAAGCGGGGGGGAGGGAUCCAGGAUUAGAUCCCCAGGUAGUCCACCCCGUAAACGGUGGGCACUAGGUGUGGGCGACAUUCCACGUCGUCCGUGCCGCAGCUAACGCAUUAAGUGCCCAGCAUUGUGUAGUACGGCCGCAAGCCUAAAACUCAUAGGAAUUGCCGGGGGCCCGCACAAGCGGCGGAGCAUGUGGCUUAAUUCGACGCAAACGUGAAGAACCUUACCAAGGCUUGACAUACACCGGAAACGUCCAGAGAUGGGCGCCCCCUUGUGGUCGGUGUACAGGUGGUGCAUGGCUGUCGUCAGCUCGUGUCGUGAGAUGUUGGGUUAAGUCCCGCAACGAGCGCAACCCUUGUCCCGUGUUGCCAGCAGGCCCUUGUGGUGCUGGGGACUCACGGGAGACCGCCGGGGUCAACUCGGAGGAAGGUGGGGACGACGUCAAGUCAUCAUGCCCCUUAUGUCUUGGGCUGCACACGUGCUACAAUGGCCGGUACAAUGAGCUGCGAUACCGCGAGGUGGAGCGAAUCUCAAAAAGCCGGUCUCAGUUCGGAUUGGGGUCUGCAACUCGACCCCAUGAAGUCGGAGUCGCUAGUAAUCGCAGAUCAGCAUUGCUGCGGUGAAUACGUUCCCGGGCCUUGUACACACCGCCCGUCACGUCACGAAAGUCGGUAACACCCGAAGCCGGUGGCCCAACCCCUUGUGGAGGGAGCUGUUCGA